rnacentral:rRNA from 1 species
AUUGAACGCUGGCGGCAUGCUUUACACAUGCAAGUCGAACGGCAGCGCGGGCUUCGGCCUGGCGGCGAGUGGCGAACGGGUGAGUAAUACAUCGGAACGUGCCCAGUAGUGGGGGAUAGCUCGGCGAAAGCCGGAUUAAUACCGCAUACGACCUGAGGGUGAAAGCGGGGGAUCUUCGGACCUCGCGCUAUUGGAGCGGCCGAUGGCAGAUUAGCUAGUUGGUGGGGUAAAGGCCUACCAAGGCGACGAUCUGUAGCUGGUCUGAGAGGACGACCAGCUACACUGGGACUGAGACACGGCCCAGACUCCUACGGGAGGCAGCAGUGGGGAAUUUUGGACAAUGGGCGAAAGCCUGAUCCAGCAAUGCCGCGUGUGUGAUGAAGGCCUUCGGGUUGUAAAGCACUUUUGGCGGGAACGAAAAGGACUGUGCCAAUACCACGGUUCGAUGACGGUACCCGCAGAAUAAGCACCGGCUAACUACGUG